GGUUGAGUAACACGUGAGCAACCUGUCCCCUGGCUCUGGGACUAACCACUGGAAACGGUGUGCUAAUACCGGAUACGACUCAUCACCGCAUGGUGUGUGGGUGGAAAGUUUUUCGGCUGGGGUAUGGGCUCGCGGCCUAUCAGCUUGUUGGUGGGGUAAUGGCCCACCAAGGCGACGACGGGUAGCCGGCCUGAGAGGGCGACCGGCCACACUGGGUACUGAGACACGGUCCCAGACUCCUACGGGAGGCAGCAGUGGGGAAUAUUGCACAAUGGGCGAAAGCCUGAUGCAGCGACGCCGCGUGAGGGAUGACGGCCUUCGGGUUGUAAACCUCUUUCAGCUCCGAAGAAGCGAAAGUGACGGUAGGAGCAGAAGAAGCUCCCCGGCUAACUACGUGUCCACCGCCGC
rnacentral:rRNA from 1 species